GCUACCACGCAAGUGGAUGCCAAUCCCCAAAACCUCUCUCAGUUCGGAUUGAAGUCUGCAACCCGACUUCAUGAAGCUGGAUUCGCUAGUAAUCGCGCAUCAGCCACGGCGCGGUGAAUACGUUCCCGGGCCUUGUACACACCGCCCGUCAAGCCAUGGGAGCCGGGGGUACCUGAAGUGCGUAACCGCAAGGAGCGCCCUAGGGUAAAACUGAUGACUGGGGCUAAGUCGUAACAAGGUAAC
rnacentral:rRNA from 1 species